rnacentral:lncRNA from 1 species
UCUUCUAUUCCAUGGAACAUUUAUUAUGUGGGGUGACUCCAAAACUGCAGUCCUGGGCUGUGAACUAGUGCGGUUCCCUUCACUUGGUGAGGGCAAGGACGCCUCUCCAUUUUAACCGCAGUGAGAAUCUGCACGUUGUUCUUUACCAUCGAGACUGGCUCUCACUGUUGGAGUAGUGAGUUGAAUCCAGGGUGCAGCUUACAGUGUCCCACUGAGCUACAGCCCCAGCCUCCAAUUCAGCAGUCUGUUGUAUUAAAGCGAAUCAGUGUCUACUGAUACCACAGAUCCUCCUACGA